rnacentral:miRNA from 1 species
UUUAAAAGGAUCCAAUGGAUGCGAUGGAUCCGAUGGAUUAAUAGAUAUCUAUUAAUCCAUCGGAUCCUUUGGAUCCAUCGCAUCCAUUGGAUCCUUUUAA